rnacentral:rRNA from 1 species
UACGGAGGGUGCAAGCGUUGUCCGGAUUUAUUGGGUUUAAAGGGUGCGUAGGCGGCCUGUUAAGUCUGCUGUGAAAUCCCCGAGCUCAACUUGGGAAUUGCAGUGGAUACUGGCAGGCUGGAGUAUGGUAGAGGAAGGUGGAAUUCCCGGUGUGGCAGUGAAAUGCGUAGAGAUCGGGAGGAACACCAGUGGCGAAGGCGGCCUUCUGGACCAAUACUGACGCUCAUGCACGAAAGCGUGGGGAGCAAACAGG